rnacentral:sRNA from 1 species
CACUCAUGGAUUUCAUUGUUAAGCAUCGC